rnacentral:lncRNA from 1 species
UCUCUCUCUCUCUCUACUGCCGACUCUUCUCCUUCCUCCUAGAAAACCCUAAAUCUCACCGGCGCCGCCUCCCCCUUUCUCCGUCCGUUCCGCCGGCGCCUCACGGCGUACCACGUCUUGGUGUACCGGCGCCGGCUUGGAUCGGUAAAUCACCAUCGAUUGGUGCUCUAUUUCGGUAAAUUCGUGGUUUGGCCGCCUCCCCCCUUGACCCAUCUGUUCGAUCGCCGCCCUCCGUUCAUAUCUGCACAGAUC